AAGUGCUCUGGGAGCUCAGAGCAGCGGGCCAUUCAUUCUUCCGCUGCUGGAAGAGUUCGGGAAAAUGCACAGGGAGGGGCUGUUUUGGCUAGGUUUGGUGGGCUUUGAGGUAGGAGGUGGAGGGAAGGACGCACCAUGCAGAGAGGAGCCUGUGCAGAGACCGGGUGAAGGAGAAAACCUUGAUGUGGUGUAGCAGAUGGGGAGGCAGGAGGAUCGCCGGACAGCAAGCUGCAGGCCAGAAUCAGAAAGGCCAUGAAUGAUCGUACUAGAGUGCCUGGACCUAGUCCAGCCGUGGGCAAAAGGGGAGCCAUUGAAGAAUUUUAAGCAGGGGCUGCGUUCCCCUGGGGAGGAGGGCUGCUUCCUCCAUUCUCUCUGGUCAGCCAAGGGCUUCUGCAUUCACGAAGCUGAACCUACAGGGUCUGAGUGAACGGCUCCAACAGUUCUGACUCCUUCUGCGAGCCUGUGCUAGCGACGUCUCCCUACUCCAUCCACAAGCCCCAUGGAGUGGGAGCCCCCCCCUCCCCUAGGCCAAUCUCCCCUCCCAUUGGAAGGAUGUGAGAACCACACACAUGGCUUUCCCUUUAGAGAGGACAUGAUUCCUUGGAAGCCUGGUUGUUCCUGGAAGCCCAAGCAAAUCCUCUCCUGGGAGGAAACCAUCAGAGUUCAUUUGGAAGCCAGAUAAAGAGGCAGACAGUGAGACAGACAGCAAGAGACAGACGAGAGACAGGCAGAAAAUGGAUUUUGAAGUGCCGUUGAGCCAAUGAUUGUGGUCAAAUCCUGUUGAGAGACAAGAUAUCUGUGUAUCUGGUAAAGUGAUCUAGGGCUAACUUUCCCCAGUUCCCUCGGCCCACCAGCCCUUUCUCCUUGCCCCUGUCCUUCCCUAAGCUGUCUCCCAGACUAGCAUCCUACCCCCAUCCCACCCCAUCCUGCCUCAGGGCAUUCAUCACUUGGACUAGUGAUUUAUCAAAGGCCCUGACAGUCCCUGUUUGGCAAAAAUCGAUCUGUGAAGAAUGGGACCAACCCAAGGCCCCCUCUUCUUCCAAACCCCCACCAUCAAUCUGCCCCAAAGGAGCCCCUCAGCUCAGCAUCAGCGGUGCCCCAGGCUGGGGCGGGUCUCUGUAUUCUUUGCUGUUCUUAAGAAGGAAAAGGAGGGAGAAAGAGCUAAGAAGAAAGGGAGAGAGAGAGGGAGGAAAGGGAGAGGGAGAGAGAGGUGGGGGAGAGAGAGGAGAUUAGUGCCUUCUCCCAGAUGUUUAUUUUGUUGUUUUUAAGUGAGAAAGUCCCAGCUCUAUUAAAUGCAAUCAAUACUUGGCCCAAGAGAAGCUUCCCUUCUCUAAGACAUUUGAAAUCUGGUCAAAUCAUUUUGCCCUGAUACAAAGUAAUUUAUCAAUUUCAAAACCCUUCUAAUCAGUGGAGGCUGUGGAGUCUCCAUUCCUGCCUGCCUGCUUUUGCUGUAACACACACACACACACACACACACACACACACACACACACACACACACACACACACACCUCUUUCUAUCCUUCCUCUCCUCCCUCCCUUCCCUCUCCCAGCAAUGGCAGAUUGACCUCUCAGCGCUCAGGACAGCCUCCAGGCCAGGUAUCAUCCUUGCAUCUCUAGCCCAGUCUGGAUGCUCCUCACCCGGCAGGUCUUACACUCAGCCCUGGGGCACGGGAAUGGCUGAAACUACAGCCACAGGGACAAACACUUUCUUCUUCUUCUCCUAGUGGCUAUCAGCUGGGGAUAGCAAUGUCUUGUUCUUAGACAGAGCCCAGAACUGGGGCCAAGACGCUAGAUGGGACCUUUGGGCCACCAAGCUUGUCCCUUAGGACCUUGGCGCAUGUUUCCAAGGGACAAGGGAGACCGACUGGCUGGAGAGGGGUUGAUGAAUCUGGCUGAAUCUGGGGAUGAUGUCACAAUACUUUCCUGCCUGCAAAACUGCUAUUUUGGCCCUCGAGACAGGUUGUGUCUGAAGGGAAAUUGUGACAGCAGCAAAAUCACCUUGCGACUCACCCUCCCCUUCCCAGAAGAGUGGCUUCAGCCUUUGCAACACCAUUAGAUUGGAUUCUCGGCAGGUCCUUUGUGACCGCCAGCUGUGGUAGCCAGAUAGGCCUCUGACCUGUGGGGAGAGGCCACCCACUAAAGAGCUGAUUCAAGUGGUCUCACAAUUGUCCCUGCGUCCCCUGGCCUCAGAGGUGACUGAGCGAAGCGACUCAGCUGGCCAGAAGUCACCACAAGGUAACUCACAAGCAUACGAGCUCUCAGAGACCUUUACUCACAGGACGGUAAAUCUAGAAGCCUGACUUUGGCCUUCUCGCUCCUCUGCCAGACCUAACCUGAAAUCUCUAGUAGACCUUCCAUACCUCGAGUUUGGAAGACACCCUGUAAACAUGUAUGCAAUUAUUGAAUGGAGGGAGAUCUCCACGGAGCUCGGCCCUUUGCUCUGUGCCUUCUCUUCCAUAGCUAUCAUUGGUCAUCUAGGAACAGAACUUCGGGGCCCUCGCAGCUCCUUGCCCAGAGCUCUCUUCCAAGUAAUGUUAAACUAGAGUGAAUACAGCGUCCUACGGUUUAUGAGGUGUUUUAAUAUUAACUGUCUAAUUUAAUUCUACAAUAAUGCUGGGGGAUACGUAUUAUCCUAUUUUAUAGCAAGAGAAUUCAAGGUUCACAGAGGUGAAGUCACUUGUCCCAAGUCACGCACAGAGCAAAUAACAAACCCAGGCAAUCUAACCAAGUUCUCUCAACUCAGACCCUAAAUCUUUUCACUGUUGUUACUCAUUAUAUAGGCAUUAAGCAUCUUCUUCAUGGCAAACUCUCCGUUUUCUUCAUGGCAACUUAAAACCGGAUGAUAUUACACUCCUGCAUGCUUUCUUUCUGUAGGUUUUUUUUUUUUUUUGGUUGGUUGCUUGUUUUUGAGACUGAGUCUCACCCCGUCCGUCGCCCAGGCAAGCCUGAAACUCUUUGCACCCUCCCUGCCUUGACCUGCUAAGUGCUGGGAUGACAAGUGUGAGUCUUGGUGUUCCACUUGACAUGUUUUUUUUCCUAUAGAUUGGGAACUAGAGGUGCAAUAAUUGGCUAAAGAUAGCACAGUAAAUAAGAGAUGGAGGUAGAUUUAACCUAGGUCUCUCGAUCUCAAAUCCUAGGUCUUUCCCAUUACAACAUAAAACCUUUAACAGUGAUGUUCAGAAAGGGCCUGAUAAAUGCCAAGCCCUUUUCCAUUUAAUCUUUGUAAAAUUCACUUCCUUCUUCGAAAUGAAGAAAUCAAAACUUUGAAAAGUUGCCUGUCUGAUACAUGACUGGGAUUUGAACUCCUGUCUCUGGGUGCAGAAUAGCAGCUUGGCUGUUCUAACUUACUGAUCUAGCAACCAGUUUAUCAACUGGGUGUCUUGCCAGUGUUCAGGCAGGGCUCAUGGCACAGCAGGAAGAGGAGCUGUCAAGGAUGGGCUUCCAGAGCAUGGCUGGCCCCUGGUCCACACUGUCCCUGCCAAGCCCUCUGUAUCUGAUCAUUACUGCUCCACUUUCUGAUCAGUCACUCAUGCCAAGGCCUGGGCACAUAACUCUAUGGGAUCCUCAUAUAAUCCCAUGACAAUAUCUUCCCCAUUUGAAGGAUAUGGAGACCAGAGCUCAGAGAGAUCAGCAAGUUGUCCCUGGACACAGCGUAUCAAAGAACUAUCAGAGUAAAGGCCCUGCUGUUUUCCUGGGUCCUCAGACCACCUCCAGUCCCAUUAUGCAUGCGUGUGUGCGUGCGUGCGUGCGUGCGUGCGUGCGUGCACACCCGUGUGCAUCAUCUUCCAGGUUGUUUAGGAAGAGAACUGUCACUAAGGAACACUGCAGUUGCCAGAGGACCCCAAUACUUCGCAUAGACAUGUAAAUCCAAGGUAAACUGCUGGGAGACAAUUUGAACUGGUAGUCACUGAAGAAGUAGAUGGGACAGCAGCUGACUUAGGGAAUACCCCAGGGCUAGGAGCCUUCAUUUCCAUUCCUGUCCAGCUAAAGACUUCCCACCCUUCCUCUGGAAAUCAACACCCCCCACCCCCACUACCAAAGAAUAGCUGUAGCACCAUUUGGCUCAGGACUUACCCUGAUUGCUUCCCACAUUGAUGGAUGAAUGUGGUUCUACAAAUUGGAAAAAUAACUAAUGUGCAGCUCCCAGACCCUGCUGCCUAUGGGUGGAGGGGGCUCUUCUGGAUUAACCCAAGACCUGGGAGGAAUCAGUCCACUGCAUACCAACCCAAAGAGGCAGCGGGAGAGGCUCGCAGCCUGGUGGGGGUGGAUUUCGAUUUCCUACAGGGUUUCUCUGUGUCACCUCUCAUCACCAUAAUAUUUACAUCAAAUGCAAAAGGCCUCCUUGGAAUAGAACCCUGAGGUUGUAAAUGCCAAAUCUAAGAAUGUCAGCAAAUGCAAAAGAUCAGGUUCCUUGAGCAGCAGCCUCCCCCUCCUCCGGGCGAUGCCUGCUGCAACCCUGAGGGCAGGCAAAGCAGGCUCCGGAGCUUCCCCGAACCUCACCCCAAAUCUGGAAAGGCUGGGGGACACCCAGGGGGGCCCAAGGGCCCUCAUCUCUGAUUCAGCAACACCCAGUAACUUCAUCCCAUCCACCUGACUUCAUGAAAUGUCUGAGGAAGUGUGUCCACAUACAUUCUCCAUUCAGCAAGGGAGGCCAGGCUACCUCAUGGACAGACAGACAGCCUGGCUGCCCAGUGAUCAGGCUGCAGCGUACUCCACGGCCCAUUGGCUGAGUUCUCUCCAUACCCUGUUCCUCACCCCCAUCUUCAUGUCACUCUUGAGGCCCCUGAAGCGUCUCAGAGACCACUCACUUAUCAAACAUUUAUUGAACACUUAUUAAGCACCAAGCCCUGGGAAUACCAUGGUGAACAAACAAGGUUUCUUCCCCGAAGGAACUUCGGUUCUAGCUACAAGACAGCCGAUGAUUAAGGUGAGGAAUAAAUAAUUUUAAUUGCUGUGAAGAAAAUAAAUUGGGGCGGAAGGAGGGAGAGGCCACUGGUGCCGCGUCGGUAGGGAAAGGCCUCUCUGAGGAGGUGGCAUUUGACCUGAAAAAUGAGAAGCUGCCCCACGGAGAUUUGCAGGAAAAGUGAGCAAAGCAGCAGUGUAGUGAGGGCAAGGGCCUUGAGAAGAGAGGAGCAUGUGUGCUGAGGCUCCGAAAAGAGGCCACCAGCCAUGUGGAGCGGGCGAUAGAGCAGGAGGGGCUGAGGUUAGGGCUGCGCGGACUUGCUGAGCUUGGAAAGGAAAACGGAUUCUUCUUAACGGCACCGGCAAGCUGUGGGAGCGCUAUAAGCAGGGAAUGGUGCUAUUUGACUUCCAUUUAAAUUUUUGCUAAGAUUUAAAAACAAAACAAGCCGGGCAGUGGUGGCACACGCCUUUAAUCCCAGCCCUUGGAAGGCAGAGGCAGGCGGAUCUCU